GGAGAAAUGGCUCAAUGGUUAAGGGCACUGGCUGCUCUUCCAGAGGUCCUGAGUUCAAUUCCCAGCCUCCA
rnacentral:tRNA from 1 species